AGAAGUGAUCCACACGGCCCUUAUUUCUCGUUCCUCAGCCACUUUCCCGUGGAUUUCUCACUCAACCAAGUCACCCUUAUUUCUCUCAACUUCCAAGACCAAAUGGAAAAUAUAAAAGGAUGGAAGUUGGAAACCUAUGGGAACACUUAAUUUUCCUCUCUAAAGCCAGCUUUCAAGACCUUUCUCUGCAUUUUAUUUUUCCACAGCAAAUUUUUUUUUCUUUUUUUUUUCUUCAGCAACAUUGUUUUCUUUUACCGUUCAGAGUUUCCGUUUUCCCUUUUUCCUUUCCGUUUUUC
rnacentral:lncRNA from 1 species